rnacentral:tRNA from 1 species
CGCUCCGUAGCUCAGUCCGGUAGAGCAGCUCCCUCAUAUGGGGCGUGUCGCAGGUUCGAAUCCUGCCGGGGUGUCCA